rnacentral:tRNA from 1 species
CUUUUAAAGGAUAACAGCCAAUCCACUGGUCUUAGGAGCCACUCAUCUUGGUGCAAAUCCAAGUAAAAGUA